AGAGUUUGAUCAUGGCUCAGACUGAACGCUGGCGGCGUGGCUAAGACAUGCAAGUCGAACGACACAGUGGCGCACGGGUGAGUAAUGCAUCGCUAAUCUGCCUGAGCUCGAGGAUAGCGGAGGGAAACUUCCGGUAAUACUCGAUAGUCCUCAAGCACCGCAUGGUGCGUGAUGCAAAGCUUUAUGCGGCCCAGGAUGAGGCGAUGUGGUAUCAGCUAGUUGGUGAGGUAACGGCUCACCAAGGCUUCGACGCCUAGCCGGACUGAGAGGUCGGCCGGCCACAUCGGGACUGAGACACUGCCCGGACUCCUACGGGAGGCUGCAGUAACGAAUCUUCCGCAAUGCACGAAAGUGUGACGGAGCGACGCCGCGUGCAGGACGAAGCCCCUCGGGGUGUAAACUGCUGAAAGGAUCAAGUAAGACCUGAACUGGUCCCUAUAAGGGGCGACUAACUCUGUGCCAGCAGUCGCGGUAAUACAGAGGCCCCAAGCGUUAGGCGGAAUCACUGGGCUUAAAGCGUGCGUAGGCGGCCCUUCAAGUGCUUUGUGAAAGCCCUCGGCUCAACCGAGGAAUUGCUUGGCAUACUGAAGGGCUUGAAUCAUCUAGGGGCAGCUGGAACUGACGGUGGAGCGGUGAAAUGCGUAGAUAUCGUCAGGAACGCCAACGGCGAAAGCAGGCUGCUGGGGAUGCAUUGACGCUGAGGCACGAAAGCCAGGGUAGCGAACGGGAUUAGAUACCCCGGUAGUCCUGGCCGUAAACGAUGUCCACUAGGCCGUGGAAGGACUGACCCUUUCACGGUCGCAGCAAAAGUGUUAAGUGGACCGCCUGGGGAGUACGGUCGCAAGGCUAAAACUCAAAUGAAUUGACGG
rnacentral:rRNA from 1 species